UACGUAGGGUGCAAGCGUUGUCCGGAAUUAUUGGGCGUAAAGAGCUCGUAGGCGGCCCUGUAAGUCCGCUGUGAAAGUCAAAGGCUCAACCUUUGAAUGUCAGCGGAUACUGCCGGGCUAGAGUCCGGAAGAGGCGAGUGGAACUCCUGGUGUAGCGGUGGAAUGCGCAGAUAUCAGGAAGAACACCAACGGCGAAGGCAGCUCGCUGGGACGGAACUGACGCUGAGGCGCGAAAGCGUGGGGAGCGAACAGG
rnacentral:rRNA from 1 species